GACAGAGGUGCCGAGCGUUAGGCGGAAUCACUGGGCUUAAAGCGUGUGUAGGCGGGCCGUUAAGUGUCUUGUGAAAUCCCCCGGCUCAACCGGGGGAAUUGCUGGGCAUACUGGCGGUCUUGAGCAAUCUAGGGGCAGAUGGAACAAGUGGUGGAGCGGUGAAAUGCGUAGAUAUCAAUUUGGAACGCCAAUGGUGAAAACAGCUCGCUGGGAAUGAUCUGACGCUGAGACGCGAAAGCCAGGGGAGCGAACGGG
rnacentral:rRNA from 1 species